rnacentral:lncRNA from 1 species
GGUUAGGUCGGACAGCAGGUGGGUUAGGUCGGACAGCAGGUGGGUUAGGUCGGACAGCAGGUGGGUUAGGUCGGACAGCAGGUGGGUUAGGUCGGAAAGCAGGUUAGGCAGUUAGUUGGACAGCCAGGUAGACAAGUAGGUAGGUAAAGCAGGAAGGCAGGCGGUUUGGUAAACAGGCAAGCGGGCACACAGACCAACCAUCCAACAGUCAACCAUUCAACAAUUCAACAGUUCAACAAUUCAACGGUCAACAACGGUCAACAGUUGCCAACAGUUCAACUGUCCAAUACUGCGAUUGCCAACAGUCCAACAGUUUCAAUUGGUUGCUGUGCUGGCAGGAGCAGGUUGGUGGACGGAGACAGCAUUUGUGGCGGAACUCUCUCAAUCAUUGCCUCAUUCAUUCAAUCAUAGCCUCAUUCAUUUAUUUGUGGCCGCAGGGUUAAAAAACCCCGCCAAUGUCUCUGCGAAGGCCGCGCACAUGCGACAGCAACAUUCGCUCAUUCAUUCAAUCAUAGCCUCAUUCAUUCAAUCAUAGCCUCAUUCAUUUAUUUGUGGCCGCAGGGUUAAAAAACCCCGCCAAUGUCUCUUCGAAGGCCGCGCACAUGCGACAGCAACAUUCGCUCAUUCAUUCAUUCGCGGCCGCAAAUGCUGUCUCCGUCCACCAUCCAUUCGCCCACCCGCCCGCUCAUCCAUUCACCAAACCACACGCCCUCCUACCUUACCUACCUCCCUGCCUCCUACCUGUCUUCCCUCCCUGCCUCCCCUCCUCCCCUUCCCUUCCCCCC